GGCUUGCUGGCGCAAUGGUAGCGCGUGGCCCUCCUACUGCUAGGCCAAGGUUGUGGGUUCGAGUCCCACGUAAGUCU